CAUAGGGUGAAUCUCGGCCCUCCAAAACAAAUCCAGCGGCUGAGAUUCGUUCACGUCAUCACGAGUUAGAAUUUUACUCGCAGAUUUACUCAGGAGUAAAAAUUUUACUGGGUAAAUCUGCGAGUAAAAUUUUAACUCGUAAUGACGAGGACGAAUCUCAGCCGUUGGAUUUCUUUUGGAGGGCCGAGAUUCACCCUG
rnacentral:pre_miRNA from 1 species